UACGUAGGGGGCAAGCGUUGUCCGGAAUCAUUGGGCGUAAAGAGCGUGUAGGCGGCUUGGUAAGUCCGCUGUGAAAGUCCAGGGCUCAACCCUGGACAGGCGGUGGAAACUACCAAGCUGGAGUACGGUAGGGGCAGAGGGAAUUUCCGGUGGAGCGGUGAAAUGCAUUGAGAUCGGAAAGAACACCAACGGUGAAAGCACUCUGCUGGGCCGACACUGACACUGAGAGACGAAAGCUAGGGGAGCAAAUGGG
rnacentral:rRNA from 1 species